rnacentral:rRNA from 2 species
CACUAUCGUUAACUGAAUACAUAGGUUAACGAGGCGAACCGGGGGAACUGAAACAUCUAAGUACCCCGAGGAAAAGAAAUCAACCGAGAUUCCCCCAGUAGCGGCGAGCGAACGGGGAGCAGCCCAGAGUCUGAAUCAGCUUGUGUGUUAGUGGAACGGUCUGGAAAGUCCGACGGUACAGGGUGAUAGUCCCGUACACCAAAAUGCACAGGCUGUGAACUCGAAGAGUAGGGCGGGACACGUGGUAUCCUGUCUGAAUAUGGGGGGACCAUCCUCCAAGGCUAAAUACUCCUGACUGACCGAUAGUGAACCAGUACCGUGAGGGAAAGGCGAAAAGAACCCCGGCGAGGGGAGUGAAAAAGAACCUGAAACCGUGUACGUACAAGCAGUGGGAGCACCUUCGGGUGUGACUGCGUACCUUUUGUAUAAUGGGUCAGCGACUUAUAUUCUGUAGCAAGGUUAACCGUAUAGGGGAGCCGCAGGGAAACCGAGUCUUAACUGGGCGUUAAGUUGCAGGGUAUAGACCCGAAACCCGGUGAUCUAGCCAUGGGCAGGUUGAAGGUUGGGUAACACUAACUGGAGGACCGAACCGACUAAUGUUGAAAAAUUAGCGGAUGACUUGUGGCUGGGGGUGAAAGGCCAAUCAAACCGGGAGAUAGCUGGUUCUCCCCGAAAGCUAUUUAGGUAGCGCCUCGUGAACUCAUCUUCGGGGGUAGAGCACUGUUUCGGCUAGGGGGUCAUCCCGACUUACCAACCCGAUGCAAACUACGAAUACCGAAGAAUGUUAUCACGGGAGACACACGGCGGGUGCUAACGUCCGUCGUGAAGAGGGAAACAACCCAGACCGCCAGCUAAGGUCCCAAAGUCAUGGUUAAGUGGGAAACGAUGUGGGAAGGCCCAGACAGCCAGGAUGUUGGCUUAGAAGCAGCCAUCAUUUAAAGAAAGCGUAAUAGCUCACUGGUCGAGUCGGCCUGCGCGGAAGAUGUAACGGGGCUAAACCAUGCACCGAAGCUGCGGCAGCGACACUAUGUGUUGUUGGGUAGGGGAGCGUUCUGUAAGCCUGUGAAGGUGGCCUGUGAGGGCUGCUGGAGGUAUCAGAAGUGCGAAUGCUGACAUAAGUAACGAUAAAGCGGGUGAAAAGCCCGCUCGCCGGAAGACCAAGGGUUCCUGUCCAACGUUAAUCGGGGCAGGGUGAGUCGACCCCUAAGGCGAGGCCGAAAGGCGUAGUCGAUGGGAAACAGGUUAAUAUUCCUGUACUUGGUGUUACUGCGAAGGGGGGACGGAGAAGGCUAUGUCAUCCGGGCGACGGUUGUCCCGGUUUAAGCAUGUAGGCUGGUUAUCCAGGCAAAUCCGGAUAAUCAAGGCUGAGGUGUGAUGACGAGGUACCACGGUACUGAAGUGACAGAUGCCCUGCUUCCAGGAAAAGCCUCUAAGCAUCAGGUAACAUCAAAUCGUACCCCAAACCGACACAGGUGGUCAGGUAGAGAAUACCAAGGCGCUUGAGAGAACUCGGGUGAAGGAACUAGGCAAAAUGGUGCCGUAACUUCGGGAGAAGGCACGCUGGUGUGUAGGUGAAGUCCCUGCGGACGGAGCUGAGACCAGUCGAAGAUACCAGCUGGCUGCAACUGUUUAUUAAAAACACAGCACUGUGCAAACACGAAAGUGGACGUAUACGGUGUGACGCCUGCCCGGUGCCGGAAGGUUAAUUGAUGGGGUUAUCCGUAAGGAGAAGCUCUUGAUCGAAGCCCCGGUAAACGGCGGCCGUAACUAUAACGGUCCUAAGGUAGCGAAAUUCCUUGUCGGGUAAGUUCCGACCUGCACGAAUGGCGUAAUGAUGGCCAGGCUGUCUCCACCCGAGACUCAGUGAAAUUGAACUCGCUGUGAAGAUGCAGUGUACCCGCGGCAAGACGGAAAGACCCCGUGAACCUUUACUAUAGCUUGACACUGAACAUUGAGCCUUGAUGUGUAGGAUAGGUGGGAGGCUUUGAAGCGUGGACGCCAGUCUGCGUGGAGCCAACCUUGAAAUACCACCCUUUAAUGUUUGAUGUUCUAACGUUGGCCCCUUAUCGGGGUUGCGGACAGUGUCUGGUGGGUAGUUUGACUGGGGCGGUCUCCUCCCAAAGCGUAACGGAGGAGCACGAAGGUUAGCUAAUCCUGGUCGGACAUCAGGAGGUUAGUGCAAUGGCAUAAGCUAGCUUGACUGCGAGCGUGACGGCGCGAGCAGGUGCGAAAGCAGGUCAUAGUGAUCCGGUGGUUCUGAAUGGAAGGGCCAUCGCUCAACGGAUAAAAGGUACUCCGGGGAUAACAGGCUGAUACCGCCCAAGAGUUCAUAUCGACGGCGGUGUUUGGCACCUCGAUGUCGGCUCAUCACAUCCUGGGGCUGAAGUAGGUCCCAAGGGUAUGGCUGUUCGCCAUUUAAAGUGGUACGCGAGCUGGGUUUAGAACGUCGUGAGACAGUUCGGUCCCUAUCUGCCGUGGGCGCUGGAGAAUUGAGGGGGGCUGCUCCUAGUACGAGAGGACCGGAGUGGACGCAUCACUGGUGUUCGGGUUGUCAUGCCAAUGGCACUGCCCGGUAGCUAAAUGCGGAAGAGAUAAGUGCUGAAAGCAUCUAAGCACGAAACUUGCCCCGAGAUGAGUUCUCCCUGAGACUAUAAGUCUCCUGAAGGAACGUUGAAGACGACGACGUUGAUAGGCCGGGUGUGUAAGCGCAGCGAUGCGUUGAGCUAACCGGUACUAAUGAACCGUGAGGCUUAACCUU